UACGUAGGGGGCAAGCGUUGUCCGGAAUCAUUGGGCGUAAAGCGCGUGUAGGCGCCAGGUAAGUCCGUUCUGAAAGCCCGGGGCUCAACCCCGGGAGGCGGAUGGAUACUGCUUGGCUCGAGUCCGGAAGAGGCGAGUGGAAUUCCCGGUGUAGCGGUGAAAUGCGCAGAUAUCGGGAGGAACACCAAUGGCGAAGGCGACUACCUGGCCUGUUCUUGACGCUGAGGCGCGAAAGCUAGGGGAGCAACGGG
rnacentral:rRNA from 1 species